UACUUUGUUUUGUCCGAACUCAUUCUUUCUUCUGACUUUCAAGCCUUUCUUCUUCUCUUCAUCUCUGCUUUGUGAGCACCCACAGUGAGAUUGAUUUACAGUAACCCCCCCCCCCCCCCAACUUGGAGGGGAACAACGAGAUUCCCAGCUUGUUAAGAAUUGAACGAUGGGAAAGCCCUGACAACGGCUUGGUAAACAGAUUGGCAAGCUGAGAUUUUGAUGACACAAAAGUGAGGGAAAUUAGGGAUGAAAGAAAUUAUUGUCGAACAAAAUGGCAGUCUAGCUCCACAUGUUUGGUGAGCUCAUGAAACACAGGGUUUCGUACAAUAUGAAUGGCGGAUUGACUAUCGGAGAGAACAAGAACCGACAUCAAAGGUGGUACUGAAAGAUCAUCAAGGAGGCGAGUGAGCCAUGUUAAUUUGGCGACAACCUUGUGCAUUGAACGAUACUCCGCCUCAGCGGAGGACAAGGACAAAGAAGCAUGUCUUUGAUUUCCAGGAAAUAGGAAACCCACCAAAUGCGAUAUAGAAGCCACUAACAGACCGUCUGGUUUUUGGGCAUGAAGCCUAGUCGGCAUCGCAAAAAGCGACGAGCUUUAGGUAUGGGGCUGUAUUAAGGAUGAUCCCUUGACCUGGAUCUGUUUUCAGAUAUCGUAAAACUCGAAGGGCUGCUGUGAGAUGAGAAAGUUUGGGGCUUUGCAUGAAGUGGCUCAAUUGAAGAACAUCAAAUGAGAGAUCUGGCUUCGUAUGGGUCAAAUAGUUUAACUUUCCCACGAGAUGUCAGUAGAGUGUUGAUUUGAGAGAGGAGUCCCUGAUUCUGUUGUAAGUUUGGAUGAAGGGUCGAGGGGAGAAGCCACACAAGAGGAAUCUGCAAUGUCAAAUUCAUUCAGCAAGUCCAAGAUGAUAUAACUUUGCACCAUUCGACUGUCCAAAUCUAUGCUCCAAACUGGUCCAUAAAUUCCUUGCAGAUUUGGAGUAUAUUACAUGUCUCCAAUGUCUUUGGUGAGAGAAUUCAACAACCAUGAUGUAACCAUGUCAUUAUAUCUACUCCAUGGUUAAGUCUUUGGAAGUAGGAGCUGGAGCUGGGCAAUUCCCAUUUAUAAAGCCCAACUUGUUCUUUUUAAAAGAGAUAUCAAGUCAGAUCUCUUCCAGCCCUGAUAGCCUUUUCCAUUGAACACAUCAUUCACCAAGCUCAUACCAGGUGCAUCUGAGGAGUGAAAGAAGUAAGGGUAACUUGGAUCGAAAUCGGGUUCAUUUCUAGUUGAAGAUCCACUUGCUUGAAUUCAGUUGAAUCAGGCAUGAUGAAAAGAGAAUGGAAAACAACCAAAAAUGAAAAUCAGAAGAGAUAUGAAGUUGUCCCUUGGAUCGAGCUACUGCUCCGAUAUCAUUAAAAGAAUAAGGGAAAAUGUGAAAAAAUUUCUGUAUUUCUGAUGGAAUUCUUUCUGUUCAAGCAAUGUAUGUUUAUACAAAUAUAUUCCUAGUGAAAGAAAACUAGAUUGAAAAAUGAAAAUAAAUUAAUCCUAUAGUAUUUUUACACUUG